GGGUAUCUGAAAUUCAGAAGGUGCUUGACAUAUCUGGAGUCCAAACUUAUGUUAUAAACAGUGCCAGAGUUGUGUUCUUGAAUGAGAGGCCUCAGCCUAGGCCUGGCAAGGGUGUCACAAACACCUGCGAGGUUUGCGACCGCAGUCUCCUUGAUUCCUUCCGCUUCUGCUCUCUUGGCUGCAAGGUAACCUUAAUCACAACUAAUUUCAAUGUUGUCCCAUUUUUCUUGUUUGGUUGAUGAGCAAGUGUGGGAAAAGAAAACAAUAAUGUUCAGUUAACACAUUGUUUGUUUGGUUGGAAUGGAGUUGACUUCUCAUAAUGAAUUAAUUACCCCCUCUAAUUUUUUUAUUCCUUAAUGACUAAGUAGCUUACAGAAGGUGGAGUACUUGAGAAUUCGAUUUCAAAUUUCAAUUACCCCUUUGAUUAUUGAUUGAUUAAUUAAUUUGAUUGCUUUAAUUUUUUUUAUUCCUUGACGACUGUUCAUCUGGUCCUGGAUGCUGGAUUUUCUUUAAGUCCGAGAAAGUUGUUACACCAAUAAUUAGAUUGAUUAUGAAGUGUGAAACAUGAACACCCCUUUCAAAUUUCAAUUACCUAUUUUUUUGUGAAUUUGCACAUUUUUAUAAAAUUUCUAUUUUCAAAAUAUUGAUGUUAUUAUAGAUUGUUGGAACAUCAAAGAAUUUUCAAAAGAGGAAGAACCGGCUAGCAAUGGGAUCAGACUCUGAGGAUUCAUACAGCAGCGGCAUCCACGGCAAGCUGAAGAAUAGGGACUUCAGCAGCAACAACAACAACAAAAUGCAAAGCUUCUCCCCCUCAACACCCCCUCCAACUGCUGUUAGUCACCGAAUCAGC
rnacentral:lncRNA from 1 species